GGAUAUAGCUCAGCAUGGAGGCCCUACUUACCCCACCGUCGGACAGAGGGGGUGGUCUGAAGGGGUAGAACAGGGUUCCAGGGAGGCUUCUUGGGUUUUCUGCCAGGCACGGUCAGGUAGAAUAGGUACUGAACUCAGUAAUCCUUUAGGACAAAAAUAGCAAGGUGGUACACUUUCCAAAGAAAAACAAAGUAUGCUUUAUAGACACCAAAGAAGAGGAAAUGGGCAAACACUCGCAGCGAACAGCCAACGUGAGAAACAAAAGCAGCAUAGAAAAGAUGGGCCCAGCCUGGUAAUAGUAACGUAAAUGCCAAUUAAGGUAAUUUAAUUACCAUCUGCAGCCAUCCCAUUGUUGACACUUAAAACCUGCGGAAGCGUUGCAAGACCACGGUGGGAGGGUGCGUGGUGGCAGCGGCGUCUUGGAGAGGAUGGGCCACCGGGUCAGAACUCCUUGAGGCUCGAGCUGGGGGCGUGGUUUCCAGGCCCCGCCCCGCGGGGACCAGGCGUGGCGGGUGCGGGUCUCCGUUUCAGGCUUUUCAAGCUGAAACAGUGCCCGGAGGAGGGCGUUGAAUGAGGGUUUGGAUAAGGCCAGGUUCUUUUCCAUGUUUUGUAGUUUUGAAAUGUUUACAUAAAGCAAGUUUGCUGUCUCCCUCCCUCCCUUACUCUUUGCGUCUUUCCUCUUUUUCUAUCAAGGGUUGAACUCCAGGCCUUCACACUGACCUACAUCUUGGCCCCUUUAAAAAGUGUUCUAUUUUGAAGGUCAACCUACUUGCCAGUCCUUCUGUCUCUCUUAGAAGCUAUCUUUCUCUCAAUAAAUUGUUCCUCAUCUUAAAACAAAAACAAAAACGAGAUUUUAUUUUGAGACAAGACCUUGCUAAGUUACUACAUUGCCCAGACAGAGCUCAAACUUGUGAUCCUCCCGCCACGCUCUUCGGGAAGCCACCGGCUGAAGCCAGUGCUGGGGGACAAACCCAGGACCUCACACAUACUUGCCUCCCCACAUCUGUAUUACAAGCGUGCACUGCUGCGCCCUCCACCAUGUCUUGAGAUGCGGUUGGAACAUGUGAGUCUGCUCCGGCUGGGGCGGCUCUUCAGUUGCUCUGAUGGCGAGGCUGUACCUGCUCUGUGUCACGCGGUCCCCUCCACCCCGCUGUCCCUUUGGUGUGCAGCUUUGUGUAGAGUGCGGGUCCCGACAUUCAGGGAGGGGAGGGACAGAUGCACUUGGCCUCAGCUGUCUGGGCAGCCCCGGGUGCCCUCAUCGCAGCCGCCCCCGCUCUGGAACCAGAUGUCUCCACCAGGCCCUCGGAGGGUCGCACGGAUGGCCUGGCUUCCAUCUGGAAAAUGCCAGGAGUGACAAAGACCAAGUGGCCCUCGCCUCCGUGGUGCUUAUUGGUGGCCUGGAGACACAGUGGCUCCAGGUAGGGAAUUGUGGCUGCUGGGAUUACAGGUUAUGCCACCACGCCCUGUUUAGAGGUACAAUUUUAUGAUUUUGGAUUUAAGUGUGACAUUAAAAGCAUAAGCAAUAAAAGAAAAAAUAUACAUUUGACUUCACAUUAAAAACUGAUAUGCGUGGAUGCUCACCAGCAAGAACAGUGAGAUGACAUGGAAUGCGAGAAAUGCACAAAUCAUGUGUCAGAUACACAGAAGUUAUUUCAUGAAACAAAAAGUCUAUUGAGUGCAUCUUCGCAGACCUAUCUAGAGAGAAUUAUUUAAAUGUUCACACAAAAUCUUGCACACAAAUGGCUGCAGUAGUAAAAUAGCCAAAAUAAUACCUGACUGCGCAGCAACUGAUACAUGGGAAGGUGCUUAUAUCCAUAGAAUGCUUAUUAUUCAGCUCUGAAAAGGGAGAGGUGCUUAUACCACCUCGACGCGGAUGAAUCUCCCCAAAAAGCCAGGCACAAAAGGUGACAGGCUGCAUGAUUCCAUUUAUCUAACGAGUCCGGAGCAGGAAGAUUCAGACCGACAGUGGGUGGGGAUGAUAACUUUACUGCAGCUAGGCCGGGAUGCUGAUUGCAAAGCCCAUGUAUGUUCUAAAAACCACUCCCCUCUGAGUGGUAUGAGUUAGAGCUCAAUUACAAGAUAAUACAACUUGACAUGUUUAUAGUCUGUCUCUGAAUACGGUGCACCAAUUAAAGGAGAUACUGUUCUCCUUAAAGGAGUUCCCACGGAGCCGUUGGUGCAGUAGCCUGGGUGGGGCGAUAUUUAAGACGAUUCCUACUAUUCACCUGUUGCACAUUUUGGUGCCGCUGCACAUCACCUAGGGACAGGGAAGAUAUUCUCCUCACCAAGGACCGUGUUCUAUAUGUAGCUUGUGUUUGAACCUACUAUUACCAUUUUCUUCUUGUAGUCCUGAUGCCGGUUACUGGGAAAAGCCUUCUUGGAGAGAACAGUAGAGGAAAUGCCCAGAUCAUGACUCCCCGGGAAAGCUUUGGAAGUCGUGACCACUAGGUGCCCAGGGAGCUGCCUGAAUCAGAGGAUGGGUCGCGCGUUGGAAACACCCACGAGGCUGUGUAGGAAACGUCGCCGUGUUCAGACAUCGGCAUCCCAUUUUCCAAGGGUCAGAAGGCUCAGAGUGGUUAAAUGAGCAUCCCAAGACAGCCCGGCUCAGCACGACCUUCCCCACUACAUGCCUUGGAUGUGGCGGUUGUCAGAUAUCACCCUGCUCCAGGAUCGCUUCCCCAGAUUCAGCAGCGUCUCAGCUCUGAGCACCCCUGCUCCUUCCCCAGAGUGACUUUGUAGCGCUUCUUGCAAUACCUACAAUAAAAGUACUUUUGCUUCGAGCUCUUCUCGGAUUCCUCUUCCUCUUUCUACUUGGGAGAGAGACAGGCCUACUGAGGGUGAGUCUGGUGACUCCUAGACCCCAAACCCAGCAGAAGUAAUAUAAACGGGGGGUUCAUCCGGGAUGGAAAGACGACCACCUCAACCGCAGACGUGGUCAGUAUACCCAGCCUAAAUGGGAGUGAAGGCAAGAGGACCCUCCAGCCUCUUGACUUGCUUUCCCGAGGACCCCUGUCCCCCCACCCCCAUGGAAGUCUUCUGGCUGGGCCCCUUAUACGGUAGAAAAUUUUCCUUCCUGCUGGACCAAGUGCAGUUUCUGACCAUUGAGGCGGAGACUUGGUCUUUUAUCCUUGUGGCUUAGUGGCGGAGCUGCUUAAAUUCAGGAACACCUAUGGUAAAGCCGCAGGGGUUCCUCCUGGUCCAGUUAGUCAGUGUCCACGGGUGAACGGGGAGGAAGGAAAGACUCCCAUCAUGUCCAAGCAACUCCUCUGCCUGUGUGCUCUGAGAAGCAAUUUAAUUUCUUCCAUACCAUUUCUGAGCUCCGUCUCUCCCUAGAAACCAGACAAUUCAUUACUCGAAUGGGCUUUCCUAGUUGGGUUGUCCUUUUUGUCAGGCCACCAGUAGGAGCAAUGGUUAGAUUCUUCACAUCUACUUGUCUAGACAGAAAAAUCUGGAUUUGUCACCUAUUUUGCCAUACUUCAGUAAUUCCAGAUAUUUUUAAGGAGGACAUGAAAGCCUGUUUGGGUCCUGGAGAGUUAGUGUCAGGGGACCCCAUUACUUGCUUUGUGAGGAUUUUACAGACCUACCCCUUUUAAAAUAUUACAGGCUUGACUACCAAAAACAUGAUUUGAGGACCUCCUUCACCUUACACUUUCAGUUCUCCCCUCUGAAAGCAUCUGAACACCUCCAUGAUUCAGCCGUGAUGGCUCUAUGAGGAGCCUUAUGGAUAGAAUUGUUUUUGAGAAAUGAUGGCACCAAUGCUUUUUCGUAUAUAAGAGAAAGUAUUGCAGUCCCAGACCUCCCAGGAGUAGAGGAAAUUUCCUCUAUUAAGGGCUUCGGUAGAACUAACCCAUGUAGCAAGCCGGGCUGAGUUUCCUGGGACCAGA